rnacentral:rRNA from 1 species
UACGGGGGGGGCAAGCGUUGUUCGGAAUUACUGGGCGUAAAGAGCGCGCAGGCGGUCGGAUAAGUCGAGUGUGAAAGCCCCUGGCUCAACCAGGGAGGGUCAUUCGAUACUGUUCGACUCGAAGGCAGGAGAGGGAAGUGGAAUUCCGGGUGUAGUGGUGAAAUGCGUAGAUAUCCGGAGGAACACCAGUGGCGAAGGCGACUUUCUGGCCUGUUCUUGACGCUGAGGCGCGAAAGCUAGGGGAGCAAACGGG